AUGAAGUUCGUGUUUCACUUUCUCUGGCCACCCCUUUGCCUUUUCCUCAAGCUCCUCCUCCAAUUGCUUUAGAUGUUCCUCGGUAAAUGGAAAAGCAUCUGCCCCGUAACUUGUCAAGUGCAUCCGAGCUUCCUUGGUAAUGGUCCGGCCACUUGGGCCAAUCGCUACAGCUGCAGGAAUGCCUUGAAUUUUGAAUUUCCGACUCAGGAUUUGUUUCCUUUCGUCACCAAAUGGAAGGGCUAACCAAGGCAUUUCUGAAUAGAACUCGUCAAAGGUGGAUUGAUCGCUGUCACUUGAGAUGAAGAUCACCUCAAAUGCAUUGUCUUUUGCUUUAAUUGUGUGGUAUGCUUCAAUUAGCUUGGGUAAAAAGGCACGACAAGGAGGGCACCAUUGAGCUGAGAAGUAAAGAAGAAUGUUCUUUCCAACUAGAUCAGACACUCGGACCUAAUCAAAGAGCAAACCAUUUGAAUGAUAAAAAUACCUUUGCUAAUGAAUUCAAUUCGAGAUAAUAAGCAAGUUAUUGAAAGUAAUGCAAUAACAACAUGCGAUGUUAGCACAGAACAAAAAAUUACCUUGGAUCCACUUUUGUCAAUCACAAAAUCAUUUUCCCCAUUAACCAAAACUGACUCAAGCGUCUGCGAUUCCAGUUUUGCCUUUUCAAUUUCAGCUAGCUCCUCAAGCUUUUCCGGUGUAAAUGGGUAGGCUUCAAUUCCAUGGUCUUCGAUGAGUUCAGCUACAUUUGGGUUCAAAGUCUUCCCAUCUUGGCCAAUUAUGACAAGAUUAGGAAUGGUUCUAAGUUCAAAAUACCGCGCUAGCUUCUCGCAGCUCUUGUCCUUAAACGGCAAUGCCAACCAAGGCAUUGUCUCAAAACUCUCUUUGAAUUAGGACUACUUCAAGUUCUCUCCUUUUUCCUUGAGCCUCUUGUACAAUUCCACUAGUUUAGGAGUGAAUUCACGGCACAAUCCUAUGAGCAUGGAUUGAGAAAUACAAGCCAACCAAUUUUCCUUCAAGGUCCAACACAGGGAUCUGCCAUUACAGAUAGCAAAAAUGUAAAUUAUGGCAUCAUCAUUAAAAAUAGCAAAAAAGUGAAUGAUGGCAUCAUCAAUUCAAUUUCAAAACUAGCUAAUUGAAUGAGCCAUCUACCUUUUUUCCAUCAUUUGAAAUCACAUAAUCACGUGAGCUUGAAACCAAGAUAGAGCUUAUGGUUUGAUUCUUCUUAGCAUUCUCUUCUUGCUCUUUCAGGAAAUUCAGUCUAUCAAGGUUGAACGGAUACCCAUCCACGCCAUGUUCCUUGACAGUGCUGACUCCAUUAUCGCAGGAAACCUUGCCAUUCGUAUCAAAAAUGACAAGAUUAGGGAUCCCUCUUACUUUGAACACUUCCUUAAGACGUUUGCGGGUCUCCGUAUCAGAGAAGGGAAUAGCAAGCCAUGGCAUUUCGGAGAAGUAUGUGUUGAAGGAUUCAUCGUCUCUGUCAGAAGAAAUGAAGACCACCUCAAAGUCCCCUUUGGAUGAUAGCUGUUCAUAGACUUCUACCAACAACGGAGUGAAAUUACGGCACGGCCCGCACCACGAACCAGAGAAGUAGAAUCCCACAAUCUUCCCAACCAAAUUGCUGACCUUAACCUAAAAAUUAACGUGGAACAUUAUCAGAAAAAAGUUUCAGCCCUUAACGAAUCAAAAUCUUAUUUGUGGUUUCUUUCUCUUGCCAGUGAGAGAAGCAACAAAAAAAAGAGCUUUUUCUUAAUCAUAAAAGCUUCAGAAAUUGGUCAUAAAUUUGUUCUUCAGCAAGGCUUGCAGUCUAAUUUAAACAUGAUAUUCAUCUUAAUUACUAGAAAAACCUACAAGUUCAUAUAAAAAAAGACGUCAACUUAUAAUAAGACAAGAAGAAGUAGAAUUGAAUAAGAUCAGAGAAACUCAUAUGCUAAAAGCAGUACCUGAUCACCAUUGUUGCGGAUGAGAAAGUCCCUCUCUUCUGAAGAAAGAAGCUUUGAAAGGUCGAGAGAAACGUCUUCGGUGGCCAUAGCUAGCUAUGUGAUGAACUACUCAAAAGGCUAGAACAAUUGCCAAUCCCAGUUGCUGUGUAAUGGAACUUCCAGGCUAAGGCUCCUUUAAAGUACCUGCUCGCCCGGCCUAGGAAAUUAUUAUUCUAAUUGUCAACGACGACUACAAGGCUUGGCUGGUGUCGAGUGAUGACGAAGACAUUAUGACGUAGGUCCGCGGAAGCGGUAUUCGCAUUAUUACGUGCUUCUAUAAAUCUCCUAUUGCUUCAUUUUUUUUUUAACAUGUUUUUUUUAAUCUCCUUUUUUUGUUUGUAUUCUAGUUUUUUAAAAAUUAUGAGUUUGUUAUUAAAUAUAUUUUUUGUUUUUAUCUCUUUAAUAAAAUCUUUAUUAAAUGUGACUUGAUGAUAACAACAUGUAAUUUAAUAAAUUGGUUAAGAUCCAAACUUAAUAGAUUCCUUCUUAUCCUUCUGAUAAAGUUUUUUAAUAGUGAAACUCUCAACUCCUUUUGAUUUAAAAAAUAAUGAUGUUACGUGUAUUUAAUAAUUAUAAAUCAAAUUAUAUUAUGUAUUUGAGCCACGUCAUGACUCUAUUUCAAUAAAAAAAAUCCUUAUAUUUUUAGGAGAGAAAGAAAGAGUUUUUAAAUACAAUAUUUUAUCAUAAUUUUGACCUUUCCCUACUCAAAAGUGCACUAUACAUAUAUAUCAUUAUCUUUUAUCGAACACUCCAAAUGUAUUUAAAUUUGUCAAUUAAUUGUAAAUAAGGGAAGUUAAUGAAUUUCCACUCUAAAAUGUUCAAAUUCAUUGUUUGCUUUCAACUUUGUUCUAAUUAAAUCAGGUUAAGUAUAUGACUUUUUUCAUUAGUGGGUAUCCACUAGAUAUUCUAUUUGAUCUAUUUUUUUAAUUAAUUUUAUAAAAAUAAAACCUAAACUAAAAAAAUAAAAUAAUUCCUCCUUCAUGAAUCAUAAAACUAUGAAAUUAAAUUAAAUAAAAAAAUAAGAGAUGUUGUUAGUUUAGUGUUGUUGCAAAGUGGACAAAAACUCAAAAUAUCAAGGAUAAGAAUAAUAUUAUAGUUUUAUUUUUAAAAUUUUUUUUCAAUAUAAUCACUAAAUAUUUUUUUUAAUUUCAUCUUUGAUAUUUUAUUAAUCAAGAAUUUGGACUUAUUGGUUGGUUUUCUAUAAUCUUUUAUGUGGGGGAAAUUAAAUGUCUCUACAUUAGGGUCAUGUUUGAUUUUACAAAAUAAAAUCCUAUUUUAUUGCAUAUAAAAAUUUAAGACUUGGGGCCAAAAUUGACCGUUAGCAACAAUUUCAAGAUUCUUUAUUUGAGAAAUGUUCAUUUCUCCAUAUUUUACUUUAAAAAUUUUAUAUUUUAAUCCAAAACUCUAUUUUGAUCACAUUUCAGUCUCUAGCUUUAAACAAAAGAUAAAAAUUCAUUGAAAAUAAUGAAAGAGAGAGAAACACAUAGAGUGACAAAGUUUUGUUAGUAAAAAUAACUAAAAUUUGUGUCAAUGUGUUCUUCUUGAUAAGAAGAGUGCUACUAUGGUGUUUUUGACUUUUUAUAUAUAAAAAAAAAACAGAUCGAGAUUUGGAGAGUUUUUUUUUAAGGUUAAACUUUGUGUUUUAAAAUUAUUUUAGGGUUUUUUUAGUUGAUGGAUUAGUUUAUAGACAAUCUAAAAGUGUCUAUUAGAUAUUUUUAGAUAAAAAUAUAUUAAAAAAUAAAUUUUAAAAUAAAAAACAAUCCAAUUCUUCAUCCACCUUUCCAAUGAUAGGAAAAUUAAGCAAGUAAAAUGAUGUGUCAUUUACUUUAUUUAAAGAAAAAACAAUAAAGGAUAGAUGUUAUGUCAUCCAUCAAAGAAAACAUAAAAAUAUAAAAUGGCUCUUCCAUCUUUUGAAUAAUUGAGCCAUUUGGCCCCACAAACAUGGCUUGUUUUGGGCCAUUAUUUUUAAAUUUUUGGAUCUUUAUCCUUGAGUUUUAAUUUUAUUUCAUUAAAAUUAAUUAUUUAAGAACACAUUAAGGAUGUUAUUUUAAUAAAUACUUAAAUUAUUAAAAAUAUACAUGAGAUAUUAUUUUAUUAGAUACCAUUUAAUUUUUACUUUGUUUUUAAAUAAAAUUAUAAUAUUUUUUUUAUAAUAUUAGUAAGGGUUUUUUUGGCAUAACCCAUCAUGAUCUUUCUUAUCUUUGCACAUACGCUGUCAAAGACUAUAAUAAUAGAUUCCAUGAAAAAGAAACUGCGAGAACAUGAAACAUGCAUUUGAACAUGAAAAGGUAAAUAAGCUGAACAUAAUUAAUGGGCCAUAGAAGCGAAGGUUUUUUCAAUGGCUUCAAACUUCUUGGCAGCGUGCUUCAUUGUUGUCGCCGAAUUUCUUCGCAGUGUGCUUGCUUGAAACGUGGAUGUAUCACAUGGAUGAUAUUUUCGUUCUUUGGACAGGAGUGAUAAGCAUUUUCCUUUAGGAAUGACAAAAACCUCAUAACAAGUGAUUGAAAUUUGAGAACAACCAUCAACCAUGGAUUCCCAGGUUUCAAAUGGGUCACAGGAUUCACAUAAACACAGCCAAUCCGGUUAUUUAUGUUUGGUAUCGAAAUACAAGACAUGAAAAUCCUUCAGCAACACGCCUCUUAAUUAGAUAUCAAUAGCAGGAAAGACAUCCACUAUCUUCACACACAUGCCACAAACACCUUACAUCGCAAACUUAUUACGGCAGAAACCCCAUAAAACCAGAUACCAGGUGCGCUUGCCCGCUUAAGCUCUGCGGCACACAUCACCAUCGCAGAUCCUUCCUUCCUUUCCCUUUUCAGUUCCAGUAUCUUCAUCUUCCUUCAAAGCACACUUAGGGUGAAGAUCAAAGUCACAUUGUUUGCAAUAGAAAGACCAACCAUGUCCUGUUCCACGACAGCCAUUGCAAACAUAUGCUUUGCGUUUAGUACGAAUCAGCUCAUGCUCAGUAUGAAGUUCGUGUUUCACUUUCUCUGGCCACCCCUUUGCCUUUUCCUCAAGCUCCUCCUCCAAUUGCUUUAGAUGUUCCUCGGUAAAUGGAAAAGCAUCUGCCCCGUAAGCUGUCAAGUGCAUCCGAGCUUCCUUGGUAAUGGUCCGGCCACUUGGGCCAAUCGCUACAGCUGCAGGAAUGCCUUGAAUUUUGAAUUUCCGACUCAGGAUUUGUUUCCUUUCAUCACCAAAUGGAAGGGCUAACCAAGGCAUUUCUGAAUAGAACUCGUCAAAGGUGGAUUGAUCGCUGUCACUUGAGAUGAAGAUCACCUCAAAUGCAUUGUCUUUUGCUUUAAUUGUGUGGUAUGCUUCAAUUAGCUUGGGUAAAAAGGCACGACAAGGAGGGCACCAUUGAGCUGAGAAGUAAAGAAGAAUGUUCUUUCCAACUAGAUCAGACACUCGGACCUAAUCAAAGAGCAAACCAUUUGAAUGAUAAAAAUACCUUUGCUAAUGAAUUCAAUUCGAGAUAAUAAGCAAGUUAUUGAAAGUAAUGCAAUAACAACAUGCGAUGUUAGCACAGAACAAAAAAUUACCUUGGAUCCACUUUUGUCAAUCACAAAAUCAUUUUCCCCAUUAACCAAAACUGACUCAAGCGUCUGCGAUUCCAGUUUUGCCUUUUCAAUUUCAGCUAGCUCCUCAAGCUUUUCCGGUGUAAAUGGGUAGGCUUCAAUUCCAUGGUCUUCGAUGAGUUCAGCUACAUUUGGGUUCAAAGUCUUCCCAUCUUGGCCAAUUAUGACAAGAUUAGGAAUGGUUCUAAGUUCAAAAUACCGCGCUAGCUUCUCGCAGCUCUUGUCCUUAAACGGCAAUGCAAACCAAGGCAUUGUCUCAAAACUCUCUUUGAAGUGUUUUUCCUCAGAGUCUAGAGAUAUUAGGACUACUUCAAAGUUCUCUCCUUUUUCCUUGAGCCUCUUGUACAAUUCCACUAGUUUAGGAGUGAAUUCACGGCACAUCCUAUGAGCAUGGAUUGAGAAAUACAAGCCAACCAAUUUUCCUUCAAGGUCCAACACAGGGAUCUGCCAUUACAGAUAGCAAAAAUGUAAAUUAUGGCAUCAUCAUUAAAAAUAGCAAAAAAGUGAAUGAUGGCAUCAUCAAUUCAAUUUCAAAACUAGCUAAUUGAAUGAGCCAUCUACCUUUUUUCCAUCAUUUGAAAUCACAUAAUCACGUGAGCUUGAAACCAAGAUAGAGCUUAUGGUUUGAUUCUUCUUAGCAUUCUCUUCUUGCUCUUUCAGGAAAUUCAGUCUAUCAAGGUUGAACGGAUACCCAUCCACGCCAUGUUCCUUGACAGUGCUGACUCCAUCAUCGCAGGAAACCUUGCCAUUCGUAUCAAAAAUGACAAGAUUAGGGAUCCCUCUUACUUUGAACACUUCCUUAAGACGUUUGCGGGUCUCCGUAUCAGAGAAGGGAAUAGCAAGCCAUGGCAUUUCGGAGAAGUACGUGUUGAAGGAUUCAUCAUCUCUGUCAGAAGAAAUGAAGACCACCUCAAAGUCCCCUUUGGAUGAUAGCUGUUCAUAGACUUCUACCAACAACGGAGUGAAAUUACGGCACGGCCCGCACCACGAACCAGAGAAGUAGAAUCCCACAAUCUUCCCAACCAAAUUGCUGACCUUAACCUAAAAAUUAAUUUCGAAAAUUAUCAGAAAAAAAAUCAGCCCUUAACGAAUCAAAAUCUUAUUCAUGGUUUCUUUCUCUUGCCAGUGAGAGAUGCAACAAAAAAAAAGAGCUUUUUCUUAAUCAUAAAAGCUUCAGAAAUUGGUCAUAAAUUUGUUCUUCAGCAAGGCUUUGCAGUCUAAUUUAAACAUGAUAUGCAUCUUAAUUACUAGAAAAACCUACAAGUUCAUAUAAAAAAAGACGUCAACUUAUAAUAAGACAAGAAGAAGUAGAAUUGAAUAAGAUCAGAGAAACUCAUAUGCUAAAAGCAGUACCUGAUCACCAUUGUUGCGGAUGAGAAAGUCCCUCUCUUCUGAAGAAAGAAGCUUUGAAAGGUCGAGAGAAACGUCUUCGGUGGCCAUAGCUAGCUAUGUGAUGAACUACUCAAAAGGCUAGAACAAUUGCCAAUCCCAGUUGCUGUGUAAUGGAACUUCCAGGCUAAGGCUCCUUUAAAGUACCUGCUCGCCCGGCCUAGGAAAUUAUUAUUCUAAUUAGUCAACGACAACUUCAAGGCUUGGUGUCGGGUGAUGACGAAGACCUUAUGACGUAGGUCCGCUGAAGUGGUAAUUCGCAUUAUUACGUGCUUCUAGAAAUCUCCUCUUGCUUUUUUAGCUUUUAUUUUGAAUAACGCAGACAUGCUGAGUCACUUGGCCCAACAAACAUGCCUUGUUUUUAGCCUCUUUUUUUUUUUUUCUUUAUCUUUAUCCUUAAGUUUUAAUUUAAUUUCCUUAAAAUUAAUUAUUUAAAAACAUAUUAAGGAUGUUAUUUUAGUAAAUACUUAAAUUAUUAAAAUUAUAUAUGAAAUAUUAUUUUAUUAAAUAUCAUUUAAUCUUUAAUUUAUUUUCAAAUAAAAUUAUAAUAUCAUUCUUAUAAUAUUAGUAUGAAUUGUUUUUCACAACCCAUCAUGAUUUUUUUUUAUCUGUACAUAUACGUUGUCAAAAAAUAUAAUAAUAGAUUCUAAAAAACAAUUAAGGAUACUAUUGAACUAUAAAAUGAUAAUUGAUUAAGAGCAUAUUAAAAAAUGUGAUAGAAAUUGUAUUUUAAAAUAGUUUUUAUUGGAAAUAUAUUAAAAAAUAUUUUUUUUAAUUUUAAAAAAUUUAUUUUUGAUAUCAAUAUAUUAAAACAAUCUAAAAUACUUUAAAAAUAUAUUAUUUUUUUAAAAUUUAAGCAAAUAGUAUUUUAAGCAGUACUAAACACCCCAUUUUACUAUAAACAAAAUCAUCAUAUUUUUAAUCUAUUUAUCACAUCAUGAAACAUCAUGAUGAUUAAUUAGCAAACACAACACCACCGUGUAGAAACCAUGUGUGACACUUCAAAUUCAUCGUAACAAAUUGAUCAAAUUAUAAAAUAAUCCUUAUACUUCUAAGAAAUUAGUAGCUCACUCCCUUUAUUUAAAAGAAGCCAUAUUUUACCUCCAUGUUAUCAUUUCCAUUUACUAUAACUUAGUUCUUCCUUUAGUUUUACAUUGUAAAAGUGCUAAACCAUCAUUUUAGGUAUUAGUUAAAAAAAAGUAUCUAUUAACAGAUUGACGGUCAAAGCUUCUCAAUUGAGUAACUUUUUUGUUUUUAAAAAACAGAAGGACUAACAUGUUGGUCUAUUGAAAAUGUAAGGAUUCAAUUAUAAUUUAAUUCAAGAAACAAAUAUGAUGCUAUUGACAUGUCCACAAGUCCACUGGCACAAUUAUUGCUUAUAACCCAUCACCUAUCAAUAGUGAUGGGGGAGGGGGGGGCCAGAAGUGUCCUUCUCCCGUAGGGUAAAAGCCCAGCAGUGUCCUCCCCCAUCGUAGGGUGGUCCAAACACAAGAUGGCUAGAGAUACUAAGAACCUGUUUGGUAUUGCGGUAGCUAUUAUGGUUGUGAUUUUAAAAAAGUUAUUUUAUAAAAAUUAUUUUUAGUUAAGGUUGGUUUAAUAAAAUAGGUGUUUGGUUAAAAUUGUGGUUGAAAUUGAGGUUGAACAAAAAGUAGUUUAAUGUGUUUGGUUAAUAAUGCUUUUGAAAUUGAGGUUAUAAAAUAAUUUUAAAAAAUAUAUAUUAAUAUUGAUGUUUUUUAAUUUAAAUAUUGUAGAUUUAACUAUUAUUAUUACAUCAUGAAAUAAAUCAUACUUUAUAUAAAAUAUUUUUUAUUGAUUCAUUAAACCAUCUACAUUUCUAUCACGUACGAAAUACAUCCGACAAGAACUACAGUUUUCAUAAUUUUUUAGCGUGUAAUAAAAUUAGAUAAAAUAUUAUCAUGUAUAAAACUAGUUUUUUUUUAAAAAAAAUGUUAAAAAAAUUAACACACUAAAAAAAAAGUGUCCACACAGUGCAAGUGAACAAUGCAAGAGAAUUGCACUGUUCACUAUUUUUAAGUGAACAGUGCACUUUUCUUGCACUGUUCACAUGAACAGUGCAUCACUAUGCACUGUUCAUGUUAAUUGAACAGUGCAAUUAACAUGAAUAGUGCAAAAAAAGUAAGGAAUUCUUGCUUUUUAAAUACUGCGUUUCCAACACAAAAAAGAAAUAGGAUCCAGUAAACAGUAUAUCUUUUUUUUUUAAUCAAACAACUACAAUUACGUUUUAAAUAAAACGCAACCGCAGUCACUGUGAUAAAAAUUAUUAUUAUCACCAUUAUUACCAUCAUAAUAAACUAUUAUUUUUAUUUUUAUUGCUGUUAUUGUUACUCUUAUUAUUAUUAUCAAAAAAUUUAUCAUCAUCAAUAAUAUUAUCACACCUAUUAAUAUCAUCAUCAUAAAUAAUAUUGUUAUUUUCAUUAUUAUUUUUAUUACUACUACUAUCAUCACUAUUUUUAUAACUAACAUUACUAUUAUUAUUUUUAUUUUUAUCACCACCAUCACCACCACAAGUCCACAACCACCACCACCACCAUUAUUGAAAAAGAAAAAACCUUAAACUUGAUUUGAAUAGAAUUGAAAACUAUAAAUUUUUUUAUAAAAAGACUAGGAAAAACAAUAAGAAAUUAAAAGAAUAUGGACCAAAUUGAAAUCAUUAUUAUUAUCAUUGGCAAAAUAAAAAAUUAUAAACUUGAUUUGAAGAAUAAAACUGAAAGUAAUAAAAACUUUGAUAAAAAAACAAAGAAAAAAAAUUAAAAAUUAAAAGAAAAGAAGACCGAAUAUAUACAAAUUAAAAAUCAAGGGUUAAAUUGAAAAAAAAACUUUCCCAAAAGGAAAAAUGAUCAAAAUACCAAAAUCAAAACUAAAAGAACUGAAUUUGAAAUACCAAUAACAAUGAGGUCCAUAGUGCUUUUCGGGGGGCAGGAAAAAAAACAAAAGGAAAAAAAAAGGAUCACUAGCAAUAAACCAAAUAUAUUUUAACUACACAAGCCACCUAUUAUAAAAGAGGAGACAGUGAGACAUCAAAUUACACAGCAGAAGGACAAUUUUUAUCAUUGGGAGUCGCUGCAUGCACCGUCCAAAUUACACAACAGCUCCCAUGUGAUGGCUCGUGUUGUGCACGUAGCAACAACUUUUUUAAAAUAAAAAAAUAUUAUUUAAAUGUUAAAUUGCAUUACUAUCCUCAACCAAAUCAACAAUUAACAAAAAAAAAAACAAGAGUAAAAGACCCUAAUACCCUUGAUCCCAAUGAAUUAAUUUUUUUAGAUCCAAGGGUACAUGUGUAAUUUCACUAUGUAUUAAAAAUAAAAAAUACCUAUAUACUCCUAUAUGAAACUAUUGAUUUUUUUUACUCCUAGAGGUAUUUUUUUUAUUUUAUUUUUCAUUAAAUAUUAAAAAUAUAAAAAUGCCCUCAAACAAACCUCUAAUAAUUAAUAUUCUGUGUGAAAUUACCAAAAUACCUCUGAAUCAAAGGUAAAUAAUUUUUUUUAAGGCUAUAGACAUUAUUUCACUAUUGUAAUGGAUAGUAAUAUGACUCUAUAGCCAUAAUGAAUUUGCCUUUUUUUUAGUAUUUUUUUUAUAAUUAGUCAACUAUACUUCAAGACUUGGCUGGUGUCAGGUGAUGACAAAGAUAUAAUGAUGUAUAUUAGAUGCUUAUAUAAAUCUCUUGUUUUUUUAAAAAAAAUGAAAAACAUAUUCCAUUUUGUAAUCUUUUUUUUUUCCGUUUGUAUCAUAGUUUUUAAACCCGACCUGGUGGUCGACCCAGUAUAAUAAUUGGGUCACGGGUCAGAUGGGUUGACUCGGGUUAAUAAAAAAAAAAAUAAUUUCUUGCUUGCCCUUGGACUAAUAAUAAUAAUAAGCAUCAUUGAAAAAAAGAAAAGUUUCUAGAGAAUAACCCUGCUUGCCACUCAUGUUUGACCAGAUCCAAAACCAAACAUUGAUUGCCCUUAUAUAAUUAGCACAAUCACCCUCACAACACAGUACACACAAAUCCCUACCCCGCUCUUUACAAACCACCUUCCCGCCACCUCCACAGCCACCACAAGCCCACCAUCACCUUCUCAAUUUUGGGAUUCAAAGUUCCUUCUCAAAGGCGUAGAAGAGAUUACGAAAUACAAGAGCAAUGCCUACCUUCACAACCACAACUAUUAUGUCAUCUCAAAGCAGCAACCUUAGUCUCCACAAACUCAAGAUUAACCCAAAAACACAAUCAAACAUAGUCACAAUUGGUGGGUGAAUUUUUCAAACAACAGACUAAACCCUAACUCAAGCAGAUCUGAAAUCCCUCUUUUCCUAACUCUCCAAGCUGAAUCAACUUGUUCCCUAUUUCAUCAAUCGAGACCCUAAUUUAUUCUCUAUUCUCUUAUCCCUCUUGAGAACCGGAAAUCUCCCCUCAAAGACCAAGUUUUCUGUGAAGAGUCAAAGUUUUACAAGAUUGAAGAGAUUAGUUUUCUGUGAUUCUGUAUUUAUGUUACAAAUGAUUUGAAGCAAAAGAAUUAAUUUGAUUGCUGCAACUCUCAUCUUAAUUUAUUAGAGAAGAAAAAUCGAGCUAAAACCGUGAAGCCUAGUUUAAAUGAACGAACAAUUAACUUUUAUACGUGGGAUCUUGCACGUGAAGCCUAGGAAAGGGCAAUGGCCAAAUAGAGAGACCCUGUUUUUAGAGGGGAGGAAAAUAGAAUUUUUAAAUACAAUAACUAUCAUUUGGCAAUUAACGGUAUCUUCUGAGUUGUGACUUUUCCGCAAUCAAAAGCACAAUUGAUUUUUAUUAAGUUUUUUUAAAAAUUUCAACUCUCACCCGCACAAUAAUAUUUUUAAUAAUCAAUCCAUCUCAAAUUAUUAAAAAAAAUUAAAUACAAAAUAAAUUCUAAGUAAUUUUGAAAAAAUAACAAAAAAAUUCUAAAUAAAAUAAAAAAAAUAUCUUAAUUCAAUUAGGUAAGCAUAAUAGCUUAUGGUUUUUUUCGUAAUGCCUUCUCAAUAUCUAAUUGAUAUUAUAUUUUAACUUUAUAUGAAAUUUUUUACUCAAUUCAAUAAUCAAAUCAAAAGUUAUAUCUAUUAACAUAAAACUAUAUAUUAGAAAAACAAGCUCAAUUCACGUGUGAGUAGGAAAAAAAAUUGAAUCCAUAAGUCUUGUAAUAAAUAAGACCCAAAUAUCUUAAAUUAACCAUUAAAUGCCUUUUUAACCUUCUUAGCUCCUAACUCCUAACUUUUUAAUAGAUCCAAUUGGCACAUGUAUUAGAUCAUGUAGUAUUGCUUGAUAAGUCUCAACAACAAUUUUUCAAUUCAUCCAAAUUGAUAAGAAGAAAAAUAAAUGAAAUAUGGAAAACCACUCUCUAUAAAGAAAAUGACAAUAAAAUCUUCCAUCAAACUCUUAACCAUCUCAUUGCAAAAAACCCUCUCGUCGGUCGUCGAAACCACCAAAAUAUAAUUCUGACUUAAUUAUCACAAACAAAAUAAAUUUAUAGUAUGAUCGUGAAAACCAGGUCAAACUCAAGGAAAAUUUUGUUUAAUCUUCCUACAAUAUACUGAAAUGAGAAAGAAUGAGAGAUUUGGAUGAAAAAUUCAAGAAACAAUAAUUCUGAAAAUAAUAAAUUGAUGUCGUUAAAUCAGUUCAAGGAUCCACACAUUCAUUCCUAUAAAUCUGUUGAUCAUCGAAGUAAAAUAAAUAUUCUUUCGCAUCAAACAAAUAAACUCGAUAUCCCUUAAAGCUGAGGAAAAUCGAUGAGAUUAUAAGUUCAUUAAUUAGAAAAAGCUCUUUAAUUAAUUUCUUACCAUCAAAGGAAUGUAAUAUUGAAAGCAAUUUUCAUUUACUCGGUAGUAGUCUUAGAAAUAAAAUCUAUGCAUUUAUUCUAAGCAAACAUUCAAAAGAUUGACAAUUUUAACUUAGUUUAUUCUUCUCUAAUAAAUUAAGAUGAGAGUUACAGCAAUCAAAUUAAUUCUUUUGCUUCUUACUCUAGUUCCUAACAACAAUUACGGAUUGAAAAAAACUAGAAAGCAUACAUGCCAUCUCAAAACAAUUCAAUAAGCUUGAAUAACAAUCAAUAACAUAAUUCUGAACAAGAAAAAAUGAAUACUUGAAUAUGAUAGAAUUACAAUGAUAAUGUUACUUCUCACAACAUGUUAAUGGAGAUGGUGUGUAUCCCUCUUGAACCUAAUUCAGGAGUUUAGUUCAUAGUUGCUGAAAAAUUGACAAAAGCAGAGAAGAAAGGAAUGUUUUUCGACUCUUGUUUCAGCUGUGUUCUGCUUUCUUUAUCCUCCCCAUAUGCUACCGAAAUCUUCAGGAUUCUUAAACUAAUUAGGAGUCUUCAUGAUAUUAAAUUCGUUCCUUCUUUAUCUGGUCUUUAAGGUUGGAUAAAUCUCUCAGAAUUUAUCUUGAAAUCUGCUUCUGCUGUUAUCAUAAUUUUAUUGUAAUACCAACUCUGUUGUAAUUUAGACUUCGAUUCUGACUUGGUUUCUUGUAAUAUCCGACCAUUCCAACUAUAUUCUUUCAUUCAUGACAUGUUAAAGGCUUGAUCUGCACCUUUCUUGGGUCCUAAGACCCAUCUUUUUUAUGUCAGACUCUCAGCCUUAUUGGGAUACUCGGCACCAUUAGUUUCCAAAUCAGAUCAGGGGACCCAUUUUGACCAACCAGAUUGUGUCCAUAUUCUGUCCUUCAAAUCGAUUUUAUCUAACUUUAAGUCUUUCAUGAAAGUUGUAAUCCUGGAUGUGUAGAUGAAUUUUGGUUUUGAAUCACCUACUUUCGAUAUCAAAAACUCAAGAUAUUCCCGUUUGAAUCUCUAGUGUAAAAGCAGAGAAUCCUGCUGCGAGAAGAACUCUGGCCCGAGUUUGCAGGUCUGAUUCGAGGUCCAAAUGAGAUCGGAAUUUUGCCCAUAAUACUUUCCUGGAAAGCUUGACACGUGUACUUCAACUUAGAAUAGCCCACCUUCUCAUUUUAGAACUCUAACUUGACAAAAAACUUGUCACAAGAAGCUAGGUCUAAAACAUAAAAUGCAAAAUUUCUUAUGUUUUAACGAUUAAUUCACGAAGUCUCUUCUGCAUGUCAAACUCAUAAAAAUAACUUCCAAUCAACUCAAAUAAGUUCAAAAUACAUUAAAAAGCAUAGUGCAAAUGGAAUAAAAACUAUGUAUAUUUUGCACUUAUCAUCCUUACAAACAUAGCAUAAGCAGUUAUCUCAAAUUUCAUACCAUUAUUUUGUCAAUUUUUUGCACAAUCAAUAUCCCUGACAUGACUUGAUGUCAAACUUGUUGUUAAUGACUUAAUAGAUAACAAGACUAAGAAAUUUUGAUCUUUCAUCUUCAUAAUUUUGAAAAUAAAUCUAUUAAAAAGUUAUGUAUGUUAUGUUGACAAGUCAACAAAACAAUGCAUAACUACUGAGUUUUUCAAACUAAAACUCCAUAGAUAUAUACAUGUGAAAUCCCCGAUGCUAAAUGAAAUCAUAAAAGAAAGAUCUCAUAGAGUAAUUUCCAGGAACAUUUUUCAUGCAAUAAAUAAAGUAAGAGGUUGGUAUUUUUGUGUGUGUGUAUUUAGUCAUUUAAAAGUUAGAACAUAAUAAGAUUAAUAGACAAUGCAUUACAGUAAACUAGCAAUUGGUAAACUCAAAAGAUGCAAGACUUUCCACAAUGCCUCUGGUCUUCGAUUUCAGUAAAUAUCCAAGGCUACAAAACACAUUGAAUAUUAUUCUAAAAGAAAAUCUUGAUUUUAAGGAAAUGAGGAUAUGAUUUGGUAACAAUUACUUAAAAUGUUGAAAUUAACAAGUCAAAGCUCCAUACUCUUAAUUUUAGAAACCGUUUCAAUUUUUUUUUUGCUAAAAUUUAAUAUGUAUUAUAUGUUUUGAAUCGUUUUGAUGUACUGAUGUUAAAAAUAAUUUUUUAAAAAUGAAAAAACAUCAUUGGCAUGCAUUUCAGCAUAAAAAGUUAUUUGAAAAGCAACCGCAACCACACUGCAAAACAUACCCACCAAUGCAACUUUAACUAUCAUGCAUGAAGAAAUCUUAGGGCAAUUAGACUUGCGUUUAUUCAAAUCUACAUAUGAAAAAAAAAUCCCCAUUUCCUAAAACUCGCAAAGAUCUAGCACUUUGAUGCAUUAUUAUAAAUCCAAAUCGGCAAGCUUGCUAUAACAUUGCUUACAUGAUCGCCCAUGAAUUAUCACAGCAAUUAGCUCCCUAGUUUCCAAUAUUCGCAAUUAAUGAGUCAAUAUGGUUUUUUCCUUUGAAACAACUUGUCCACGUGAAUCACAUCUGCAUAAGAAAAGACAAUAUAAGCCAUAAAAAUUGAUCUAUACCAUAACCAGUCCUGAUAUUGACAAAGGAAAGUUAAAGGCUACAUUUGCAAGCUAUAUUCAUCAAACAUGUUACAACGUGUUGAAUUAGUAAGAUGUAAAUCCUUUAGCAAAGAAAACAAUAAGAUGGUUAAACAUGCGGGCUUGCCGAGCCACCUUUACCUGUUUUAAGUCUUUAUUUUUAUCUUUUGGAUAUUUUCCUUAAAUUUUAAUUAUAUUUCAUUAAAACUAAUCAUUUAAAAAUAUAUUAGCUUAAAUUAAUUAAGAAUAUAUUUGGGGUAUUAUUUUAUUAAAUAUCAUUCAAUUUUUACUUUUCUUUAUACAACCUAUCGUGAUUUUUUUUAAUUUAUUCCGACGAGUAAUUAUUUUUAUUAUGAUAUAAUUAAAUGAAAAAUAAGCUUAAAAAAUAGAUUUAUUAAACCAAGCUAGGUUUAAUAUGGGUUGAACCAAGUCAAUUCAAAAUAUUAUCAUCUUAAUAUUAGAAAAACAUCACCAAUAAAUUUCACAUAAUAACACGCAAAUAGUAUGUUGUUCUUAUGUUUUGUUUCAAUUGAAUUUAAAUUGUUUCUCUUCUUCUAAAAACAUUAUUGCCAUAUAAUCAAAUAAAAAAAACUAAAGAGUUAUUAAUGAUUUAAAAUAAGAUAUAUAUAUAUAUAUAUAUAUAUAUAUAUAUAUUUAUUAGCUUCCUAAAUUAUUUUUUAGUUAAUGUUAAUGAUUUUUUAACAUUUAUUUGCAUAUAAUUUUCAAUCAAUUUUACUAGAUAAAUAUAUGGAGUUCAUAAUAAUUAUUUUUAUUAGAAAAUUUAUUGAAAAUAUAUAAUGUUCUUUUUUAAAAUUAAAAAAAAUAAAAUUAAGUUGACAUGUGCCGGAGCGCAAGCCUCCUAGCCGCUACUCUUCACUGGGACCAUUGAGUGGUUGGUCUAGAUAAUAUCGAUGUCGUCGUUGUAGUUUCCUGAGUCACUGGCUCUUCAAGAAUAAAUUAUUAGCAUACAUAAUAUCGAUGUCGUCUUUGUAGUUUCCUCGACGCGUCACUGGCUCUUCAAGAAUAAUUAUUAGUAUAGAUAUUUUUAUGUUUUUAAAAUAUUUUAAAAAAAAAUUAUUUUUUUAUUUUAAAUUAAUUUAUUUUAGUGUUUAUAGAAUUGAUUUGAUGUGUUAAUAUUAAAAAUAAUUUUUUAAAAAUAAAAAAAUUGUUUUAUUAUAUUUACAAGAUAAAAAUAUUUUCAAAAACAAUUGUAAUUAUAUUUUUAUAAGCCCCAUAUAUUCACCUAGCUAUAUGUUGUUUGAGAGUGGGUACAAAUAAAGAUUUGUUAAAAAUUAAUUUUUUAUUUUAUUUAAAAUUAAUUUUUUAUUUUUAGAUUAUUUCAAUAAGUUAAUAUCAAAAUAAAUUUUAAAUAAUAAUAAAAUAUUAUUUUAAAGUAUUUUUACAUACCUUGUACUAGAUUCACAGUAUCAAGAGAAGAAGGGUUGCUAGUUGCUACCGGAGAAGUUAGUUUCAUUGAUUGAUGGAAUGUUAUACUUUAGAAAUCAAAUAAUAUGGUGUCACGAGAAUUAAGCAAAUAGAAAAGCAUUAAAUUUAUGGAAAUCCUUUCCUGUUCUGCGAGGGGAAGGAGUUAGUGGUCUUGAUGUAGUUGUUGGCUUUGCUAACUUUUCCUGUUUUCUAUUAAAGUGUGGUUGUAGUUAUUUUUAAAAAUAUUUUUUUGUGUUGAAAUAUAUCAAAAUAAUAUAUUUUUUAUUUUUUAAAAAUUAUUUUUAAAAUUAGCGCAUCAAAACGAUACAAAACACAUAAAAAAAUUAAUUUUUAAUAAAAAAAUAGAAAUUUCUAGAAACACAAUUUAUUCGCGUUCCGAAACGGUGCCAUAACGGUUGCUUGGAUUGGAAAUUCUUGUUUCUUUUACGGUGGAGUUACAAUGGUUUCAUUGUAUAAUGUUCGUUAAGUCACAAUCAGCCCAGUUUUUGUAUUUAAUCAGCAUUACAAUUACAGGAAUAUUUGCUCCAGAGGUGAAGCUGGUUCUUCAUCCAGCCAAAUAGAAACAAAGAGAGCGGCACAAUGGCAUCAUGCAUAGCAUUUUCCUUUAGGAAUGACAAAACCCUCAUAUCAAGUGAUUGAGCUAUGAGAACAACCAUCAACCAUGGAUUCCCAAGUUUCAAAUGGAUUCACAAAAACACACAGAGCUGUUUAUUUAUUUUUCGUAUCCAAAUACAGGACAUGAAAACCCUUUCAGCCUCACACUUCUUAGAUACAUAACGACAACAGGAGAGACAUCCCCACUAUAUUCACACACAUGCAACAAACAUCUUCCAUUGCAUACUUACUACAGCAGAAAGCCCAUAAAACCCGACACAAGCAGCGCUUGCCUGCUUAAGCUCUGCGGCACGCAUCUCCAUCGCAGUUCCAUCCUUCCUUUCCCUUUUCAGUUCCAGUAUCUUCAUCUUCCUUCAAAGCACACUUAGGGUGAAGAUCAAAGUCACAUUGUUUGCAAUGGAAAGACCACCUAUUUCCAGUUUCCCCACAGCCAUCGCAAAUAUAUGUUUUGCGUUUAGUACGUAUCAGCUCAUGCUCAGUAUGAAGUUCGUGUUUCACUUUCUCUGGCCACCCCUUUGCCUUUUCCUCAAGCUCCUCCUCCAAUUGCUUUAGAUGUUCCUCGGUAAAUGGAAAAGCAUCUGCCCCGUAAGCUGUCAAGUGCAUCCGAGCUUCCUUGGUAAUGGUCCGGCCACUUGGGCCAAUCGCUACAGCUGCAGGAAUGCCUUGAAUUUUGAAUUUCCGACUCAGGAUUUGUUUCCUUCCAUCACCAAAUGGAAGGGCUAACCAAGGCAUUUCUGAAUAGAACUCGUCAAAGGUGGUUUGAUCGCUGUCACUUGAGAUGAAGAUCACCUCAAAUGCAUUGUCUUUUGCUUUAAUUGCGUGGUAUGCUUCAAUUAGCUUGGGUAAAAAGGCACGACAAGGAGGGCACCAUUGAGCUGAGAAGUAAAGAAGAAUGUUCUUUCCAACUAGAUCGGACACUGGGACCUAAUCAAAGAGUAAACCAUUUGAAUGAUAAAAAAAACCUUUGCUAAUGAAUUCAAUUCGUGAUAAUAAGAAAGUUAUUGAAAGUAAUGCAAUAACAACAUG
rnacentral:lncRNA from 1 species